GUGCUCACUUCAGCAGCACAUAUACUAAAAUUGGAACAAUACAGAGAAGAUCAGCAUGGCCCCUGCACAAGGAUGACAUGCAAAUUCGUGAAGUGUUCCAUAUCAAC
rnacentral:snRNA from 1 species